rnacentral:rRNA from 1 species
UACGUAGGGUGCAAGCGUUGUCCGGAAUUAUUGGGCGUAAAGAGCGUGUAGGCGGCCCGAUUAGUCCGCUGUGAAAGUCCAGGGCUCAACCCCUGGAAUGCCGGUGGAUACUAUCGGGCUAGAGUCCGGAAGGGGCGAGUGGAAUUCCUGGUGUAGCGGUGAAAUGCGCAGAUAUCAGGAGGAACACCGAUGGCGAAGGCAGGUCUCUGGGCCACUACUGACGCUGAGAAGCGAAAGCAUGGGGAGCGAACAGG